rnacentral:lncRNA from 1 species
GCUCUUUUAAAUUUUGCCUUUUUUUUUUUUCAGUUGAGAAGGAUGUGUCAAGAAAAAUCUCUUUCUAUACUCUGGCCUCCAGAGAAAGGGGAAAAAUACUUUUCUUAAACCUGUCUGGAUUUCUACGUAUCAGCACGUUGGUGAUUGGCUGUAGCUAAUCCAGUGCUAGAGCUUGCUACCCUUCAACCCACAACCAUCCUUGGAAAUCGGAUCUUUUCUAAAAUAUCAUGCCAUAAUCAACAUCUUAUCAGGAUCCAGGACUCUGUCUUUCCUUCUGUCAAGAUCUUAUAGGAGUAUAAAUAUUUUCUCAUUGAACCAAUCCAUCACAGAAGAACUGGUACCUCCAAAGAUAGGAAGAACUGAAAGAAGGAAAGGAGGAGGGAAGAAAGUGGAGAGGAGAAGACAGAAGAGGAGGAAAAAGAGAGAAAAAGGAGGUAGGAAAAAAGGAAGGGAAGGAGGCACGGAAGAGAAGGAAAGGAAAAGAGAAAGAAGAGAAGGAAAGAAUAAAAGAAAGAAAGAGAGUCUACAAACUAAGGAGGGUUUUGUGGGAGAAAACGCUAGGGAAAACAAUGCUAGCUUGCCUUUAAUUAGUGUGAAAAAAAAAGACAAAGUGAACAUUUUUUCCCUUUUUGAAAAAAGAAGGCACUACCGUUUGAAAUGGUAACUGUUUACAAGACAAACUAAGUUACAUGUGAACAACACUAUCAGCGUUCCAACACCCAAUCUUGCACCAUAUUGUGUAUCCACUUAAGAAAAACUGGCUCCAAUUAGGGAUCUCCUGUCGAGCAUCUUAUUUAUCUGCUUCCAGAACAGCUGUGAGCCAUUCAGGAUGCCACCAGUUUUUCCUCAUUACACUCUCCUUAGAAUUACAGAUGUGCCUGGCUCAUCCCCAGGGAGCCACAUUCUAGUAAACACAUCCUUCCUAUGUUUCGGGGGCUUCUCUGAAAUAAGCUUGUGAACACAGGCUGACAUGGUCAGUUGAAGUUGGCUUAAGAGACUUAAGGCUGCAAAUACCCCCUGUAAUUUCUUGGGAAAGGAGAGCUGGAUAAUGAAAAGGAUUUAGGGUGUGUGGGGGAAAGGGAGGGAGCUGGUCAAAAU